CUCAGACCCGGCUUGGGUGUUUUUUUCAAAAAAUUUCGGGCCCGGCCAGGGUAUAUUUAAAAAAAUUAAAAUAAUGUCCGGCCUGGGGGCAAGGCCUGCAGAUCUCUGAAAAACAUACCAAGAAGUACAACAUCUGAAAGUAGAUUGAAAGAUUUGGAUCUUUUGAAUAUUCAUAGGCAUUUGACGACAAGCAAGGAUGAGAUAAUUGAAAAAUUAGCUCUAUCACAACGAAGAUUGGAUUUUACAUUACUAAAUUCCUGCGUACGCGCCUGACUUAGACCCAUUAAUAUUAAUCUGAGUGUGGCUAUGGAACAAGAACAAGGUGAAGAACCACAACCAAAAUUUUUAUUAAAACACAAAAGUAAUACCAUAAAGAAUUAUUUUCAAGCAAAAGAUAUUAUUUUAAAAGAUACUUCAAUGUCAAUGUCUA